rnacentral:rRNA from 1 species
CAACGGAUAAAAGCUACCCUGGGGAUAACAGGCUUAUCUCCCCCAAGAGUCCACAUCGACGGGGAGGUUUGGCACCUCGAUGUCGGCUCAUCCCAUCCUGGGGCUGUAGUAGGUCCCCAGGGUUGGGCUGUUCGCCCAUUAAAGUGGUACGCGAGCUGGGUUCAGAACGUCGUGAGACAGUUCGGUCCCUAUCCGUCGCAGGCGUAGGAAAUUUGAGAAG